CCCUGAGGGGGCAGGUCUCCAAAAAAGUGAGCUGCUGAGCCAGGGAGCCCAUUCUGAAUAAAGAAAUUAUUUCUGUCCGUUUGCUCCGCGUCGUGGGCACCCACAAUGUCUAGAGACCAGAGUAGGUUGUGGGGACCAAAGAUGAACAGGACAGGAUCCCUGGACUGAGGAAACCUCUGUAUUGUGGAAGAAAUACCCCCUAAGUAGCCUAAAACAACGAGGCGAGCUCCUUACAGGAUGCCACCGAAGAACCUAAUAUCCAUUCACUUAACUCCGCCAUCAUUUCCAGGCAGAAGGAAAGGCGUGUGCAACAGCAUGGGGCAUGGUGCUACAAGUUAAUAGGUAGAGGAGUUGCAGGGAGAUCGCAGGGAUGGGGCCGAGGAAGGACCGCAAGGGUUGCAGCGUGGAGAAGGUCAGCAAGAGGCUUCACGGCUUGUGAGCUGUCUGCUGUGAAGGGCCAGUGAUGCUCUGAGUCGCUCACCAGAAAGGUGUUCUGGCAGUGGUGGGUGAAUCGAGGCCACGUUGAGGGCACUGAGACAAGUUAGGAAGCAAUCUCUAGACAAAAUGGGAUGAGGUGGUGACAGGGACAUGGAGAGGAGGAACUGAUUAACUAUACAGUGAGAAGGUGGAAGUGGCCAUACCUGGAAGUCAAUGUACUCUGGAAGAUGAGAAAACGGUCCAAUGUAAGAUGUCUCUCAAGUUUCAUACGGGACUGACUGGGUAGUAGACAUCCAACCAAAACACAGGAGGAGACGUGUGCUCUUGAGGGAAAGAUGGUUCUCCUUUCAGACGCAUUGAUUUCGCCAGGCAGGUAUACAUGUCCCAUAAGCCAUUUUGACAUAUGAUACACAGGGAGUUUGGACUGGAGACGUGAAUUAACAGUCAUCAGCCCAAAGGUGACAAUCAGGUGAAUAAGGAAGACCAGGCAGACUGCAGAGAGGAAGGCUAAGGACAGGGCCCUGUCUAAGACCACAGUCUAAGAGACGGAGAGGGAAAAAGCUGAGGAGGGAGAUUAGAAUCAAUGGAGGUGGGUGAAGAAUCAGAGAAGUCACAGAAGCCAUAGCAGCAGAAAAUUCUUAAGAAGGGAGUUAUUAGAUGCAUGGAAACCUGAAGAGAAGUCAGAUAGGUUAACUGAGAAGAGUCCAUUCACUGUAGCAAGCAGGAGGACACCUACUUCAAGCUGAGCUUCAAGAGAGGGAGAUGGUGAUCUAAAGAAGGAAGGGGAUUGUCCUUCUACAACUGCCACGACUAUGCUCGCCAUUCCUGCCAUGCCAGAGCCACUUCAUUGACCCUUGGCCGUUUCCAAUGAGAAUACGGUCUCCACUUUACAGACCUGAUGAGUAAGGUGCAGAGAGAUUAAGUAACUCGGUGAGGGCGCACAGCUGGUCUGUGGAACCCAUGUGUUCCUAAAGCCCAUCCUCUUAACCCUGACUGGAAGAUCUCUCAUAAUUGUACAGCAGCUUGACCUUUCGGUGCACCUUGCAUCUGUUAAUUAUCUUACUUUAGUCCAAUAACUACCAUUCACAGCCAAUCCUUGGAGAACAAAAUAGGCCAGCUGACACCAAAGAGCAGUUAGUGUGUGCUUGAUGCCCAUGAUGAGGCAACACUGAUCUUCUGGUAGCUUCCAGACUGACCAAACAAACGGGGCAAAGAUACUCCUUUCCUCAUCCCCUGCCACUAUGCCCUCCUCCUGAGAUCUCCAUCAAGCCCACUGUUUCUUUUCCACAAACAAGCAGUAUGACUCCAGCUCCACCCCGGCCCAAAUUGUAGUCUCCUACUGCUGGUAAUGUAGGCAAAAGCGUGCAUCACUUCUUGCACCUAAAUACUCCUCGGAGCUUAGUCUGGAUCCAAACAGAAUCGAUCUGCCUCCUAUUACAUCCUUCUAAGCUCUUUGGCCCAUUCCCUCAUUUCAGCCCCAGCCCCAGACGUCAGUUUUUCUCCAGCAAAUUCAAUCUGUUGCAUUAGGUGCCAACAGACGGCUUCCCUGCUGAAAGUCAAAUAAUCAUGUCCCUGGAACAUGCUGUGUUUAUUCAUGGUCCAUUACUGUAGUUAAACUAGCAACAACUCUAAGAACCUAUAGAUUUUUUUUAUUGCCCCUCAUAGAAAGAUCAUGAUUUACAGACAGAAUCGAAAAAGGCCCAAUUAGCUACCCAUACCGGAAACAAGAAGAAAACAUUAGCAAGAGACACUUCUUUUGCUUUCUCUUCCAUAGUUGUGUGACCUUGGAAAAGGCCAGGCGUGUCUCCAUCAGCCCUAAUUGUCAGAUUCAUAGAAAGAAAUGGAUUCACAUCAUGGGAUUCUGCUACAGCCGUGGCUUAUUUCACACAAUAUAAUUGGCUUUCUUUGUGAAAUUUCACACCAGAGGAAAAAUGUGAUUUUUCAAGCAGAAAAGAACUAUUGUGAGAGUUAGCUCAUUUUGGACCCAGGAUGAAUUUUAAGCCCCAGAGAAGAAACUGAAAUAUGCUUUAAGGAGAAAUAAUACAGCUCAGGUCGUGAUCUCAUGGUUCCUGGAAUUGAGACCUGCAUCCAGCUCAUGCUGACAGAACGGAGCCUGCUUGAGAUUCUCUCUCUCCCUCUCUCUCUCUCUCUCUGCCCCUCCCCGCCUUGUGUGUGCACGUGCUCAC